UUGCAAACUGAUACUGUGAUGUG
rnacentral:miRNA from 1 species